CAGGAGGGUAAAGUAAGACAAAAAUUAUUGGCAGUGCCUCAUAAAAGUAUUUUGAUUUGCUUUACUCGUAGGACUACUUGUUAGAUCUGUGGGGAAGAACUAACAUACAGCU
rnacentral:snoRNA from 1 species